GUUUACGUGGUGUAUUGGUUAGCACGCCUGUUCGGCAAACAGGAAAUGUCAGGUUCGAGUCCUUACCGGGAUUG
rnacentral:tRNA from 1 species